AUUGAACGCUGGCGGCAUGCCUUACACAUGCAAGUCGAACGGUAACAGGUCUUCGGAUGCUGACGAGUGGCGAACGGGUGAGUAAUACAUCGGAACGUGCCUAGUAGUGGGGGAUAACUACUCGAAAGAGUGGCUAAUACCGCAUGAGAUCUACGGAUGAAAGCAGGGGAUCGCAAGACCUUGUGCUACUAGAGCGGCCGAUGGCGGAUUAGGUAGUUGGUGGGAUGAAAGCUUACCAAGCCGACGAUCUGUAGCUGGUCUGGGAGGCCGAUCGGCCACACUGGGACUGAGAAGUGGCCCAGACUCGUACGGGAGGCAGCAGCGGGAAAUUUUGGGCAAUGGGCGCAAGCCUGAUCCAGCAAUGCCGCGUGCAGGAUGAAGGCCUUCGGGUUGUAAACUGCUUUUGUACGGAACGAAAAGCCUCGGGUUAAUACCCUGGGGUCAUGACGGUACCGUAAGAAUAAGCACCGGCUAACUACGUGCCAGCCGCCGCCGUAA
rnacentral:rRNA from 1 species